rnacentral:rRNA from 1 species
GUGCCAGCAGCCGCGGUAAUACGUAGGGUGCGAGCGUUAAUCGGAAUUACUGGGCGUAAAGCGUGCGCAGGCGGUUUGUUAAGACAGAUGUGAAAUCCCCGGGCUUAACCUGGGACUGGCGUUUGUUACUGGCAAGCUAGAGUGUGUCAGAGGGAGGUAGAAUUCCACGUGUAGCAGUGAAAUGCGUAGAGAUGUGGAGGAAUACCGAUGGCGAAGGCAGCCCCCUGGGCUGAGAUUGACGCUGAGGCACGAAAGCGUGGGGAGCAAACAGGAUUAGAUACCCUGGUAGUCC